GACGAACGCUGGCGGCGUGCUUAACACAUGCAAGUCGAGCGGUAAGGCCCUUUCGGGGGUACACGAGCGGCGAACGGGUGAGUAACACGUGGGUGACCUGCCCUCAGCUCUGGGAUAAGCCUGGGAAACCGGGUCUAAUACUGGAUAUGACUCCAUGACGCAUGUUGUGGGGUGGAAAGCCUUGUGCGGCUGAGGAUGGGCCCGCGGCCUAUCAGCUUGUUGGUGGGGUGAUGGCCUACCAAGGCGACGACGGGUAGCCGGCCUGAGAGGGCGACCGGCCACACUGGGACUGAGACACGGCCCAGACUCCUACGGGAGGGCAGCAGUGGGGAAUCUUGCGCAAUGGGCGAAAGCCUGACGCAGCGACGCCGCGUGAGGGAUGACGGCCUCGGUGUAAC
rnacentral:rRNA from 1 species